rnacentral:rRNA from 1 species
AGCGAACGCUGGCGGCAGGCCUAACACAUGCAAGUCGAGCGCCCAGCAAUGGGAGCGGCAGACGGGUGAGUAACGCGUGGGGAUCUGCCCAAUGGUACGGAAUAACCCAGGGAAACUUGGACUAUACCGUAUGUGCCCUUCGGGGGAAAGAUUUAUCGCCAUUGGAUGAACCCGCGUCGGAUUAGCUAGUUGGUGAGGUAAAGGCUCACCAAGGCGACGAUCCGUAGCUGGUCUGAGAGGAUGAUCAGCCACACUGGGACUGAGACACGGCCCAGACUCCUACGGGGGGCAGCAGUGGGGAAUAUUGGACAAUGGGCGCAAGCCUGAUCCAGCCAUGCCGCGUGAGUGAUGAAGGCCUUAGGGUUGUAAAGCUCUUUCGCCGGUGAAGAUAAUGACGGUAACCGGAGAAGAAGCCCCGGCUAACUUCGUGCCAGCCGCCGCGGUAACAC